rnacentral:lncRNA from 1 species
UUUAAAUGAUUUUCUAGAAUUUUUUGAUUUAAAUUAAUUUGAAUUUAAAUAGUGGAAUAUUCUUUUAUACCUAGCAGCAGCUAGCUACUGAGUAUGACAGGUGGGGUCCAGUGGCGGAGUUGACCCAGUCAAUAUUUGACCGGCCAAACAAUGAAUAGUGACAACGGGUCCCACAUGUCAUAGACUAAGAUAUCUUUAAAGUUUAACUUGGCAUUUUAAUUUAACCACAGGGGACCACAGGUCAUUGACUCAUCAGGCCAACUAAACAAUAGUCUAACUUAAACAAAACUUAAUUAGCACUACUAAUUGAGAGGGCCCAUGUGCCAGAGGCACAUACGUGCACUAGGCUGUGCAUUCACGCACAACACACACGCGCGCGACCAUGGCGAAGCAACGAACAGUAGCAGUACUAAGGAAAGCGACAGUAGCUAAGUAGCAGUAGUACGCAGAAGCAGCGGCGGCCGGCUGCGCGCCGAAGCAAUGAGCAGCAGCACGCGGGAGUAGCAGGCAGCAGUGCAGCAGCAAGCAGCGGCAUUAGCAAAGAGCAGCAACUGCGGGAAAAGCAGCAGUAGCCGGCAGCAGCAGCGUGCAUGGCGGGGGCGUGGUCAAGGCCGGCCAGGGUGCGAGCCGGAGCGAGUCGCGGGCGCGGGCGGCGACGCCGCGCGGGGGCUAGGUAUGGCCCGGGCGCGCCGGCUGCGGGUGAGACAUGGUAGAGCGGAGCACGACCAGCAGGGGAGACAGCGCAGGCGCACGGUUGACGCGGUGAUGCAAGCAACGCAGUGGGCGGCUGCGGGCGCGCAGCGACGAGCAUGGCGAGGACGGGCGACGGUGGCGGACUGGCGUGGUGCGGCGAACGACAGAGAGAGGGAGAAAACAGGGAUCGAGGGCGCGCUCACCCCCGUUACAGGGGAACACCGACGAGGCGUGGGGGACUCCGUCGUGGCAGGGGGUCGGCUGAGGCGGGCGUCACGCGGAAGGAGACCGUGGUGUUGGCUGGCUUGCUUCGGUGACCGACGAGGCGGGGGCCGCCGGUGACGAGGGGGUGGACGUGCGGCUCAGGCGAGCACACACACGUGCCGGCAGGCACCGGCCACGGUCGGGUGGGAGAUCCAGCCGGUGGCGCGAGGACGGCGGGAGGAGCUGCGGGGCGGCACGGCCGGGCGAGCAUGAAGGGGGGUCAAGCGCGAGCGCGAGCGCUUCCCUCUGUGGGUGGCGGCGCGAGGAGGAAAGAGGCAAGGAGCGAGGGGAUCGGGAGAGAUGGGGAUCGAUCAAGAGGCUGGGCUCACGAUCGGCUAGGGUUAAGGGGGAUUUAGGUGGGCUUUGGGCCGGCUAUGUUGGUUUGUUGGGUCGGCUGGUCCAAUUGGACCAAGGGGUGGGGGUUUUAUCUUUUUCAUUUUGUUUUUCUUUUAGUUUUUUCUUAUUUAUGAUCUUAGUUCCUAAAAAUAGUAUUACUACCUAUGCUAAUGCCACUAUUUCUUGGGCACCAAAAAAAUAGUUUAAUAUUUUAUAUUUUAUAAAAGGCAUUUAACUGUUGAUUUUGGCUGUUGUUCUACUCCCUCCGUUCCUUGAUAUAAGGUGUAUAGAUUUUUGAAAAAAAAAUCCAAAAUAUAAGGUGUAUUGCGUUGCAACACUCGUUUGGAUAAUUUUUUUUAGGAUUUAAUUACAUUUCCUUAUAUCAUGCAAGCUCCUCUAUUUUCUCAUGUCAAUUAGUCAGGUGUAAACUUGCCCAAAACUUGUGAAAUUUUGCGUUCACGUGCGUUCUUUAAUUUUCGUGCCAAAAACUAUACACCCUACAUUUAGGAACGGAGGGAGUAUUAAAUUUGGAGUAUCUAAACAUUUCAUAACAAUGUGGUUUUACCACCAUAAUCAUCUAUGAUUUAUUUGCUACCAUUUGAACAUUUUAGAUUCGACAACUGAAAACUUUAAUUGUUUGACUUUAAUUCAAAUUUGAAUUUGGAUCGGUUCUGAACUCACAAAAGAUUAGCAACAGUAAUCUUGGGGACGUUGCAUCAUUACCAGAGGGUUACUGUAGCUUGAUUACCCGGGCAUCACAAUUCUCCUCCACUACAAGAAAUCUCAUCCCGAUAUUUAAGAGGUGGAGUAACGGGAAGGAAUUGAUUGCGAAAUUCUAGCGAAUCUUCUCGGUCUUGGUUGCUCUUCUUGAAGAGGUCGAUCCUUUACGUGGAUGUCCUCAUUUCUCUGUUUUAGGUCAUCAUGAUGAAGUCAUCAUCCUUUCUUCAGGAUCUCCAUCGUCCUAUGAACGCGACCAAGGGGAAAAACUCUGGAAGAACGCAUCUCCACAAAGUUGGGCAUCUGAUGGUGUACUCAAUGGGAAAUACACAAGGUACCCCAUGAGUUGUAUUUCAAUGAAUUCGUUGAGUGCAAUAUACGAUGGUACCAAAGUUUCAAACGGGUAGGCAAUCAUUCGAUGACUAGACAGAGGCUGGAAUGUGGGUUCGAACAACAAGAAUAACAUGGUGUUUGACUCCAGGAUGAAUAAUGGUAUAGCAUUUAGCUCGUGAAUCACAUGUGAAGCCAGGUGCAAAGGAAACAUUAGAAUCCGGGUUGUAAAGAAGAGUCAGGUUUCGAUCCAGUGGACCUGUGGGUUAUGGGCCCACCAUGUGGGUUGAAAGUAGGAAGGGUGGUGACAUCUUGCACAGCCGCGACAGGGAGGCAUGUCAGUGAAUAGCUUGUCGGCUAUGCCGGCAACAAUGUCGGUACCAAGGACGGGGAACGAAGAGAGCAAUUUUCCUGCUUGUUGAAUGAGGCGAACCAAUUGGCAAAGUUAUCACCCGUCGAUGGUUACCGGAAUGUCAACAACAAUAGUAGCAGGAUCUUACAGACAAAAUGGUACAACAAGGUGCCUGCCUAAGCACGGAAUUAUCUUCGUUUAGUUAAGUCAGAUUCAGGAGAGGUUAAGCAAAAGAAUGGAAAGGAAAACGCGAUUAUCGGAUAAAACGGAACAAUGAAAAGGAAAAUUGUGAUUACACACAAUUAUUAGGAGUAUAUCCUUCCCAUGUACAAGCAGAACAUGGCAUACAGGGUAGGAGAGCAAGUACCCAACCAUUCAGAUAAGAGGCAAGGAUUAAUCAAGAUGUUACCAAUACAACGAUGUUUGGAUAACUGACCAAGAAACAUUUAGCAUCGCGCCUCCAAUGUUCUUGUUGAAGAGCGGGGUAUCAUAGUCAUGCUUCAAGGUAGCAAUGAUAUGGUGCUUCAAUCAAGGGCCGGACUUUGGAUACACAAAUGAUCCAUCAGGAGCAACUUAUAAAAUAAGUCUUACAAUUUCCUCCAGGAAGAAUGACUAUCCUUGCAAAAGAAAUUAUAAUGAUAGGUCCUCCAGCCAGGGGGGUGCUAGGCAUGACAUCAUAUUACCGGGUCAUCAAAGGACCAACAUCAUAACUCCUGGAAAGUUGUCCCAACCACCAUAUCUGACCGAGAUUCAGAUUUGAUUGGUGUCAUGAUACCUCAAACUUAGGAUGUCCGAGAAGAAAAGGUGUAACACAAAUCGAUGAAAUGACAUUGCAAGAUUCUCGGGAAAUGAACUAUGGGAGCGGGUUCCUGAAACAAUAGUUCAUCAUUAAACCAAGGAGGGGAUGAGAAGGUGGCUGAUGGGCUCAGCCAUAAUUCAUCGAGAAUUCCAAACGGAUGGAUUUCCACAAUAAUGUGAACAAGAAGAUGACACUUGUCAAUUCAAAUGAUAUAAUGGUGUAUGCUCUAGGAAAACAUACACCAUCAAUCAUUAGUUGAUAGGUGUGCCCGAAUAUGACCUUAGGCAGCAAGAUCAAUGUUAGAGUGACGAUUCAAUAACCAACAGUCUAAGAACGAACUGCCGAUCGUUAACUUCAAAGCAAUAGGGUUGCUAGAAGUACAGAACUCAAACAACAUCGUUAGCAUAUUGGUAUACUAGUUAAAAAUACACGAGGACCAAGGAAGAAUGGUGAUGGUGAGAAGUACCAUCAUACCAUGAAUUUCUAAGAGGUGGAGCAAUCCCCACAACAUUCUCGACAUAAAAGACAGUAAUACUUUAAGGCAGAACACAACACUAGCUGGAGAGCAAGUUGUAUUCAUAAUGUGGACAAGUUCGCGAUGAAAGGAAGUCAAGGGUGUUGUCGAUGAUAAUAAAAAUCAUCAAGGGCAAGGAGGGUAUUUCUCAUCAUGAACACAGUUGAUAGCUCAGAAGAAGUCAAAGUGUUGAAGGUGAUCCGACACAUUUGCCGGGAGAUUUCGAGAGGAUAUAAUCACACAACAACGGCAACAAGCAAGGGAAUGACGAAGUGGCAAGUUAUAGGAUCAAUAUAUAAGAUGCAAGCUCGAAACCAAAGUUGCCUUUCAAGACAAGCAACAUGAUGUUGAAAGCUCGACGUAAGUCGUGCUCACACACUGAAGAAUUCGUGCACCAGAGAAGGACGAGGUAGCACAGUCAAAGAUGCCGGGAGAUUUCGAGAGGAUAUAAUCAAACAACAAUGGCAACAAGCAAGAGAAUGACGAAGUGGCAAGUUAUAGGAUCAAUAUAUAAGAUGCAAGCUCGAAACCAAAGUUGCCUUUCAAGACAAGCAACAUGAUGUUGAAAGCUCGACGUAAGUCGUGCUCACACACUGAAGAAUUCGUGCACCAGAGAAGGACGAGGUAGCACAGUCAAAGAUAGCAAGACCAGGAUGCAGCCGAUAGUCUAGGAAUGACCAUAUUGAGUUCAGAAUUUCCGAGUAAAAAUACUAGGGGUAUUUGAUUUGUAGUGCGGAAUAAUUUCACUAGUCGGUGUCCUCGGUUGACAACAACCCAGAACCCGUAGAGUGAUUACGACAAGAAAAGACAUUACUUCAACAAAGUUAGUAAGAUGUGGCGCAAUGGCAAGAUAUCUUCGAGAUACCAGGGGGUAAUACUCGAAGGUAGAACAUGAUAGAAGUAGAACCGGGUCAUUGACCUAUGACAGUAGGUACUUCAACCUUGCCAAAAAUAGACAAGGCAAUGGAAUGAGUUCCCACAUAUAUCAGAUCUGGACAGCAUGGUCGGAACCAUAACUGUAAGGAAUCAAUUUAAAGAAUACCGAAAGAAUCAUACAGCUGGAUAAUCAUUUUGCAAGAAGCUUCCAAGAUGGUCUACAUCAUUUUCUUGGGCAUGAACACAAAGUUCAAGGUCGACUCCCACUUCUUUAAUGCAUAUCGUUUCAUUCACCUCUCGCUUUGAUAAAACUAUAGUGUUGGAAUUUUAUUUGGUAGAACACCGAAAGAGUAUGACUUGUGAAAACUUUCGGGUUCUCAUGGAUUAGGGGAAGGUAUAGGUUCAACCCAUCGUGAAUCUUAGUAACAUAUACCACAAGUUUCAAAAGUAAAUACACAAGCUCGAAAGAAGAGCAUGGUUGGCCAAGCAGAGGAUACAAUUUAUCAAAGGCACUAUGUACCAGGGGAAGAACUCACAAGGUGAUUGAAUAUGGACACUAUCGGAUAACAAUCCAACAAUGGAUCGGGCGACCCACAACGGAGCUGAUGUGAGUAUCGAUACUCACUCAGAGGAAGAAAGAAUACAGAGGCAUCAGAUUCAAGAAUCACCGGAUUAGCUUGAUGCUUAAAUAGAAAGAAAUUAUGGUUUCCAAAACGAAGGAUCAGAAGCAGAUGCUCUAAUCAAGGAUGGAUAGGUUGAAAACACUUAGUUGGACCAUCAAUAAAGGUUUGAAUUGCUGAGAACCAACACAUGUCCGGAAUGACAUCUGAGUCGGAAAGAUAAUUUUAAAAGGGAUAACCUGAUGAUGCGUGCGUACGCACAUAUUGAAUCAAUAGGCUCAAAUUGACUAAGACAAGGGAUGUUAUCAAGGACUACUAGUCAUAUGGAAUUAACCAUAAUGAAGCAGGCAAGAAUUUCAAGAAUAACAGGCUGCAGAGGAUUUUCGAAAGAUCAAAAAGUAUUCCGAUGAAUUUUGUGAGACACAUGAACAAUUGAGAAGAACGGAUCCUCGAUAAAUGUGAGGAAAAAAACCAUAAGGGUUUUCAUGUGAAAUAAAACCGCAAGACAGUAAACUCAAAGGAUUCUCGGGACAACGGAGAAUAGUUCGAGGCGUCUUGUAACAACAAGAGCGACGAGAAAUGAUCAUGAGAAUAACAAGUGCAUGAAGAUAUCCAUAGGGACAUAUCGAUGGCAGUGAAUGGCAAAGGCGAUGAGCACAAGGGUCUCAGGAAAAUAUCAAGGGAUAUGCUCAGAAUCUUCUAACGAAGCAGGUGAUCUUCCAGAAUGAGGGCUCUCCGAGAGAAAUAGUUAUGAUAACCUAGAGUUAGAGCUAGCAAAAUCAUUUAACCCAAAUAGAGAAGAGAUCAGAGUCCCAAAGUAAAGGUCGAGGAGUAAAAGAUCCUAAUACCACCCAAUGGUGACGUGGGCCCGGAAGCCACACAACCAUGUAAGUAAAACUUUUGCAACGACUAGACUCGACUUCGGCCAAGGAGUUUGGAAAGGGGAUUCGUACAGGCAGUCGGCUCUGAUACCAACUUGUGACGCCCCCGAUUCAAUCGUACACUAAUUAUGCACGCAAAUGUGUACGAUCAAAAUCAGGGACUCACGGGAAGAUAUCACAACACAACUCUAAAAGUAAAAUAAGUCAUACAAGCAUCAUAUUACAAGCCAGGGGCCUCGAGGGCUCGAAUACAAGUGCUCGAACAUAAACGAGUCAGCGGAAGCAACAAUAUCUGAGUACAAACAUAAGUUAAACAAGUUGUCAUAAGAUGGCUAGCACAAAUUGGAUACAAAUCGAAAGAGGCGCAUGCCUCCUGCCUGGGAUCCUCCUAACUACUCCUGAUUGUCGUCAAUGGCCUUCACGUAGUAGUAGGCAGCUCUAGUGUAGUAGGAGUUGCCGUCGACAGUGGCGUCUAGAUCCUGGGCUCCAACGUCUGGAUACAAAUGGAAAGAGGCGCAUGCCUCCUGCCUGGGAUCCUCCUAACUACUCCUGAUUGUCGUCAAUGGCCUUCACGUAGUAGUAGGCAGCUCUAGUGUAGUAGGAGUUGCCGUCGACAGUGGCGUCUAGAUCCUGGGCUCCAACGUCUGGUUGUAGCAUCCGAGAAGAAAAGGAAAGAGGGGGGGGGGGAGAGGGAGCAAAGCAAUCGUGAGUACUCAUCCAAAGUACUCGCAAGCAAGGAUCUACACUACCUAUGCAUGGAUAUAUGUGUAAAGAGGUAAUAUCGAUGGACUGAACUACAGAAUGCCAGAAUAAGAGGGGGAUAGCUAGUCCUAUCGAAGACUACGCUUCUGGCAGCCUCCGUCUUCCAGCAUAUAUAAGAGAGUAGAUUGAUGUCUUCCAAGUAGCAUCGCAUAGCAUAAUCCUACCCGGCGAUCCUCCCCUCGUCGCCCUGUGGGAAAGCGAUCACCGAGUUGUCUCUGGAACUUGUCUGGAUGUGAUUUAUUAAGUAUCCAGUUCUACUUGUCAUAAGGUCAAGGUACAACUCCGGGUCGUCCUUUUACCGAGGGACACGACUAUUCGAAUAGAUCAACUUCCCUGCAGGGGUGCACCACAUAACCCAACACGCUCGAUCCCCUUUGGCCGGACACACUUUCCUGGGUCAUGCCCGGCCUCGGAAGAUCAACACGUCGCAGCCCCACCUAGGCACAACAGAGAGGUCAGCACGCCGGUCUAAAUCCUAUGCGCGCAGGGCUCUGGGCCCAUCGCCCAUUGCACACUUGUACAUUGCGUACGCGAUCGAUGAGCAGACCUAGCAACCUUCAUUACAAAGGAAGUUGUGUUACGCGUCCAACCCGGCGUGCGCCGCUUAGUCGCUGACGUCAAGAAGGUUUCGGUUGAUACCACGUUAUAGAGUGCCCAUAACUGUUCCCGCGUAGUUGGUUAGUGCGUAUAGGUGAGUUGCCAGACUCAGAUCAAAUACCAAGAUCUCGUUAAGCGUGUUAUUUUGAAAUAACCGCAGACGCCGACCAGGGCCAAGCCCACCUCUCGCCUAGGUGGUCUCAACCUGCCAUGUCGCUCCGCCACAAAGUAACAGCCGGGGCCGUCGGGAACCCAGGCCCACCUCUACCGGGAUGGAGCCACCUGUCCUUUCAGCCCCCAUAUCUGAAUCACUUGCGGGUACUCAACGAGCCGACCCGACUUUAGUCACCAUCUGUAUAGUAUGUAUAUAUGUAUAGUAUAUACCCGUGAUCACCUCUCGAGUGAUCAUGGGCCGAUUGUAUAGCAAGGCAGACUGAGAAGAAUGUAGGGCCAAUGAUGAUAAACUAGCAUCCUAUACUAAGCAUUUAGAAUUGCGGGUAAGGUAUCAACGACUGUAGCAACAAUGACAGGCUAUGCAAUAGAAUAGGAGUAAUCGAACAGUAACAUGGUACACUACUCUAAUGCAAGCAGUAGAGAGAAGAAUAUGCGAUAUCUGGUGAUGGGGGGGGGGUUGCCUGGUUGCUCUGGCAAGGAGGGGUCGUCAACUACGUAGUCAAACUGGGCAGCAGCAGCAUCGGUCUCGUAGUCUACCGGAAAAAAGAAGGGAAGAAACAGUAAAUACAAUGCAAACAUAAGCAUGACGAUGCAUGACAUGUAAAUGAGGGGUGUUAGGUAUGCCCUAACGCGGUAGUAGGUGAUACCGGCGAAAGGGGGAAACAUCCGGGAAAGUAUCUCCGGUGUUUCGCGUUUCCAGAUAGAUGAACCUAAGGGAAAAAGUUGCGUGUUUGCUAUGCUAGGAAUGUGUGGCCGACAAACGGGCCGCGAAUCCGGAUUUGCCUCGUCGUUCUGGGCAAUUUUCAUGUACAAAGUAUUUCCAUCCGAGUUACGGAAUAUUUUAUAUUAAUUUUCAAAGUUUUAAAUGAUUUUCUAGAAUUUUCAGAUUUAAAUUAAUUUGAAGUUAAACAAUGGAAUAUUCUUUUAUACCUAGCAGCAGCUAGCUACUGAGUAUGAUAGGUGGGGUCCAGUGGCGGAGUUGACCCAGUCAACAUUUGACCGAUCAAACAAUGAAUAUUAACAACGGGUCACGUAUGUCAUAGACUAAGAUAUCUUUAAAGUUUAACUUGGCAUUUUAAUUUAACAACAGGGGACCAUAGGUCACUGACUCAUCAGGCCAACUAAACAAUAGUCUAACUUAAACAAAACUGAAUUAGCACUACUAAUUGAGAGGGCCCAUGUGCGAGAGGCACAACACACACACGCGCGACCAUGGCGAAGCAACGAACAGUAGCAGUACUAAGGGCAGCGACAAUAGCUAAGUAGCAGCAGUACGCAGAAGCAGCGGCGGCCGGCUGCGUGCCGAAGCAAUGAGCAGUAGCACGCGGGAGUAGCAGGCAGCAGUGCAGUAGCAAGCAACGGCAUUAGCAAAGAGCAACAACAGCGGGAAAAGUAGCGGUAGCCGGCAGUAGCAGCGUGCACGGCGGGGGCGUGGUCAAGGCCCGGCCAGGGUGCGAGCCGGAGCGAGCCGCAGGCGUGGGCGGCGACGCCGCGCGAGGGCUAGGUGUGGCCCGGGCGUGCCGGCUACGGGUGAGACGUGGUAGAGCGGAGCACGACCAACAGGGGAGACAGCGCAGGCGCACGGUUGACCGCGGUGAUGUGAGCAACGCAGUGGGCGGUUGCGCACGCGCAGCGAUGGGCAUUGCGAGGACGGGCGAUGGUGGCGGACUGGCGUGGUGCGGCGAACGACAGG